rnacentral:rRNA from 1 species
AACGAACGCUGGCGGCGUGCUUAACACAUGCAAGUCGAGCGGUAAGGCCCUUUCGGGGGUACACGAGCGGCGAACGGGUGAGUAACACGUGGGUGACCUGCCCUCAGCUCUGGGAUAAGCCUGGGAAACCGGGUCUAAUACUGGAUAUGACUCCAUGACGCAUGUUGUGGGGUGGAAAGCCUUGUGCGGCUGAGGAUGGGCCCGCGGCCUAUCAGCUUGUUGGUGGGGUGAUGGCCUACCAAGGCGACGACGGGUAGCCGGCCUGAGAGGGCGACCGGCCACACUGGGACUGAGACGCGGCCCAGACUCCUACGGGAGGCAGCAGUGGGGAAUCUUGCGCAAUGGGCGAAAGCCUGACGCAGCGACGCCGCGUGAGGGAUGACGGCCU